rnacentral:lncRNA from 1 species
CAUACCUAGACAAACUUAGGCUUUCCAGCUUGCACUGGACCAGGGUGGAAAGGAAGGGUAGAUGUCUACCCAAAUGGAAUAUUGAGUAUCAGAGACUUCAAAUGAUAACUUUUGUUUGUUUGGAGAAAAUCUUGAGGACGUGAUCACUGUACAAAAGCAUGGCAAAAUGAGGAAACCACUGACAGGUGAAGAAUUUGCACAAUGGAAAACCACCUUGACCAUCUCAUGACUUUAUACAGGAAUCGGAGGUAAGUGUUCCUUUAAAGUGAUUUUGUCAUGAAAGAGUCAUCUGAAAUGACUCUCUUGAUGGAGGAAAGGAAAGUAAUGAAAUCAACAUUCAUGGUUAUUUAAAAUGCCUUAAAAGCUAAGCAUAAUAUACAUAGUAACUCCUUUUCCUAGUAUAAAAAUAGUGCCAGA